AGACACCCUCUCCUCUUCGGUAUCAAGAGGAAGAGUUUUGUGUUCACCAAAACAGUACUUGGAUCUCGUUCAUUCUGGAGAAAUUUCAGAUUAGGGUUUAUCUGUUUGGGAGAUUGGCAAUUUAUCCUUGCUCCGACUGUUGAUUUACAGAAGCAACGUUUCCAAUCAGAUUUGGACAAGUUGUAGAGGACUCUGAUUCGAGACCGUAU